GAGGGUAUAGCUCAGUGGUAGAGCACAUGCUAGCAUGCAUGAGGUCCUAGGUUCAAUCCCCAGUACCUCCA
rnacentral:tRNA from 1 species